GAAGAAAAGCUUGCUUUUCAGGCGUCAAGCGGCGGANGGGUGAGUAACGCGUAGGAAUCUGCCUAGUAGUGGGGGACAACCUGUGGAAACGCAGGCUAAUACCGCAUAAUCCCUGAGGGGGAAAGGAGGGGAUCUUCGGACCUUUCGCUAUUAGAUGAGCCUGCGUGAGAUUAGCUAGUUGGUGAGGUAAAGGCUCACCAAGGCGACGAUCUCUAGCUGGUCUGAGAGGAUGAUCAGCCACACUGGGACUGAGACACGGCCCAGACUCCUACGGGAGGCAGCAGUGGGGAAUAUUGGACAAUGGGCGCAAGCCUGAUCCAGCCAUACCGCGUGUGUGAAGAAGGCCUUAGGGUUGUAAAGCACUUUCAGAAGGGAGGAAAGGUUGAUGUUUAAUACGCAUUAGCUGUGACGUUACCUUCANAAGAAGCACCGGCUAACUCUGUGCCAGCAGCCGCGGNA
rnacentral:rRNA from 1 species